UGACGGUACCCGCCGAAUAACCACCGGCUAACUACGUGCCAUCACCCGCGGUAAUACGUAGGGUGCAAACGUUAAUCCGAAUUACUGGGCGUAAAGCGAGCGCAAGCGGUUAUGUAAGACCGGUGUGAAAUCCCAGGGCUUAACCUUGGAACUGCAUUUGUGACUGCAUGGCUAGAGUGUGUCAAAGGGGGGUGGAACUCCAC
rnacentral:rRNA from 1 species